ACUAUGUCAUACAGGGUUUCUUUUACCAGUCUUAAUUUGUCUAUAACUUGAUAGUCUUCAGACUGUCAGGAUCAUUGCUCUUUAGGAUGCCUGGGCGGUUAGAUUUGCCACCUGAUUUUUUUAGCCACAGCAUCUUAGGUCUUUCUCUGCAGAUGUCAACAGUUCUCUUUGUCUGUAUAUACAGAGCUUGUAUUAAAGCCACAAGUUUGGCUUUGUGGGCUGAAGUCCCUUUAGGGAGGCUGCUGGCCUAGAUCACUUGCUUUCUGUCCAUCACUGCACUGCUGUCCCCGCCUUCCGCUUACCCUCAACCUCCAGGCUACUGCCAUCCGUGUACCAGCUCAAACUCUCAGGCCAAGGCUGAUCUGAUCCUUCAGAUCAUUUCGAGUAUGAGUUCCUUCUGCCAGAAUGUCAGCACAAUGAUGAGUAGGUGAAGUCUCAGGCAGUAGUGAGAUCGAGGAUAGCAGGGGGAGCGAAGGUCACUCGUUCAGUCAACAAAAAGCUCUGACAAUGUGUCCAUCCGUCAGGGGAACAGUUGGAUAAUGCUUUCAAGAGCGUUAGUCAGCCAUCGGUCAUGGGGGCUGAACCACACUUUCUAGGACAUGUGCCAAGUUUUGUCUCAGAGUCAAUUUAUCUGCGUCCUUGACCAGAAGCCACUAUGUGCAGACAAGCAGGCCAUCUUACAGCCACCAGGUCUAAUUUCUUACAAGUAUGCCACAGGUCUUUUUCAGGGUCCCAAUCUCUGAGUAAGAACUUCUUUGGCAAUACCUUUGUUCUCAGUCACAUCUAGGAGUCCCAAAGUUGGGGACAACAUUAGGGCAGUCUCAAGAGCAUCCAAGGCCAUCUAAGAUUGUUCUUUAUUUUUCUAUACGAAGGGCUGUUUAUCUCUUUAACUCAGCAAAACCUGGAAUCCACAAUCUGCAAAAGCCCGCAGUGCCCAGGAACUUUUUAGCUUGUUUUGCACUGGUCGGUGGAGGAGUAUGAAACACAGUCUCUUUUUUAGCUGCUUCAACAGGUAGGCCACCGGACUCUUUUAAGGACUCAGCUUCUGUGUUAGCACCCCUUUUGUUAUCUCUUAUACACGUUGAUCUUUAGCCAAAAGCUUUCUUUUGUUGCCAGGUACUAUCUAAGUUUUCUAAUUUUCCUGACUUUUGUGACCAGCAUUUUACUUCUCUUAUCUAUCUGUCUCACAGCACAGCUCUGAUUCUGACUCUGAUCUCUGUCUUUGUCUUAACUUCCUGUUACCUUGGUCAGAUUGUUGGGACACUUUCUAGUCCCACAGAGACGAGACCCCCAUCAGAGCCUGGCAGUUAGAUUCACAGGUGCUCCUUACCUUGGACAGAAGCCCCAAGUGGGUGGAUGCCUCCCUCACUGGAACUUGGAACAGACUCACUGCCAGCAACUCAGGGUGGUGCCACCCUCUGAGAAGAGGGAACUUUAGAGCAGAGACGGGAGUGCAGCUCUCACAGCUGGCUGCAACCGGCACUUAUCUUAAAGUGAAAGCAGUUUUUCUGUUAACAAGAGACGGGAUGGGAGGGACAGGGGAAUGAGAAGCUGCCUGGGAACCUGCAGCGCUCUUGGCCGCUACUCGAACAGCCUCCUCUUCUUUUUUUUUUUUUUUCAGCAGCCACAACAUCCAGGGCCACUGACUUCUCAGGGACCACUCCUCAUUUGCUCCGGAUUUCCGAGCUCAUUUUUCCCUAGGCUCCAGGUCCAUGGGCGGGACCACUGUGACCCGCUGGCUGCUCUCUGGAGUUGGAGUGGGAGGCAGGGCAGCUGUUGAUCUGAAAGGAAGUGGUCAGCAUAGGGAUCUGACAGGAUUUUUAGGCUUAUUUCAGAAGGCAUAACUAAAAAACAGUCGUCAGUCAUCAGUCCAAGUCCGAACACAAAGAGACACACAAGACACACACAGAAACCGUUUUUCAGGCAACCACUAUAGAAUCACAGUACCACAGAAAUGACAAACACAAGCAAGACCAAUACAGGGCAUCUUACAUGCGAUUUCCAGAGAAGCUUACUGUCACUAUGACCAAUCCAAAUGGACCUGUCUCCAUGGGAAGGCCCCAGAACCUGAGACCGGCCUAAAACCAAACCAAGAUAAUCAGUCAACUCCUUGGGACCAAGACCAGACCUGAAACCAGACAAACCAAAAACAAAACAGAAUCAGAAGGUGGUCCAAUGGAGGACACACAAGUGAACAAGACACACAGACACACAGACAUACAGACAGGGAGGGAUCUCACUUUACCUCUGACGUACAGUGUCUGUGUCUCAUGACAAAAACCACAAACAAAAACAAGAUAGCAACAGAGAAAAAGAAGACACCAGUAUCUCUAAGCACACUCGUCCACGCCUGGACUUGUACAACCAGCCAAGCCAAACGCUAUUUCCUGACGGGGUCGGAUUCCACAUCGACUCCCUUCCUCCUGAAAAACAAUUUGCCUGACGGCGGCGAUUAGUGACAAGUCAAAAGCACCCUUAGGUGGCCAGCCUACUCCAAACGUUGGCCACUCGGAGGCGCAAAAGGUCUGCCACUGACCCUUUCUGACCUCCACCGACUGGUUGUGGGCUCUGACCCGCACCUCCUUCCAAUGCUCCAGAGUCAGAGAAAGGGGAGUGAACACAGAUUGUCCCAUUUCUAGAAAAACAGUAGUCACAACAAGAGCGGACACGAGACUAAGACAAAAAAAAAGAAACCAGAAGAAUCAGAUGGCCUCUCCAAGGCCGGCCAAUUGAGACCCUCUGCACGAGGUGGGACUCGAACCCACGAUCCCGUGACCAGACGCGAGGUGGGACUCGAACCCACGGUCUCGCAACAAGGUGCGAGGUGGGACUCAAACCCACGAUCUCGCAACAAAACACGAGGUGGGACUCGAACCCACGAUCUCGCAACUGGGCACGAGGUGGGACUCGAACCCACGAUCUCGCAACCCCAAAUGGUCUCUUGGCCUUCAGAGGGGUCCACCAGGCGUCCCUGAUCCUCC
rnacentral:lncRNA from 1 species